rnacentral:rRNA from 1 species
GUGGGCGUUCGUGCUACCAUGCAGUCGAGCGGAUGACGGGAGCUUGCUCCUUGAUUCAGCGGCGGACGGGUGAGUAAUGCCUAGGAAUCUGCCUGGUAGUGGGGGACAACGUUUCGAAAGGAACGCUAAUACCGCAUACGUCCUACGGGAGAAAGCAGGGGACCUUCGGGCCUUGCGCUAUCAGAUGAGCCUAGGUCGGAUUAGCUAGUUGGUGAGGUAAUGGCUCACCAAGGCGACGAUCCGUAACUGGUCUGAGAGGAUGAUCCGUCACACUGGGACUGAGACACGGCCCAGACUCCUACGGGAGGCAGCAGUGGGGAAUAUUGGACAAUGGGGGAAAGCCUGAUCCAGCCAUGCCGCGUGUGUGAAGAAGGCCUUCGGAUUGUAAAGCACUUUAAGUUGGGAGGAAGGGCCGUAAGUUAAUACCUUGCUGUAUUGGAGUUUCCGACAGAAAAAACACCGGCUAACUCUGUGCCAGCCGCCGCGGGAAU